AGUGCUGUGCCAGAAAAUUGGGCUUCCUUGAUGUGGAAGAAAAUGUAGGUUCAACCCUUCCGGUGCUA
rnacentral:tRNA from 1 species